ensembl:lncRNA
GUCUCCCAGCACGGAGGGCGGCUUGUUUUGAGGAAAAUACGAUUAUAGGUAGUAGUCCACCUUGCUGUGAUUGCACUUAAGUGUCGGUUUUGUGAAAGCAAUGUUACGAUGAUGAGUUAUUGAUCCGGAAAAGCCGAAUCUGUGAAUAUCUUUCUAACUUUACCGAAGUGGAACAGGUGUCUCCGCGGGACGUGCUGCUGCGGAUUUCAUCAGAUCAUCAUCGUUUGUUUUUGCAGUUUUAAGGAGAAACAACGAGUGCUGCAUGCUGCAUGGUCUCUAAAGGACAUUCGUAUUAACGUUCAACGGAUAUAUUUUGACGAGGAUUACACCACCGAAGUGUUUAAGGAGCGCGCAAAAUACAGGAGCGCAAGGAAACAACUCCAGGAGCGAAAAGUCAAGUCUCGCAUUCUCUACCCUGCAAAACUCAUGUUGUUUCUGCAGGAUUGAAAGACUAAGAUUUUUGAAAACCCACGAGAAGCAGCACAUUACUAAAGUCUAAAGGACUUUGGCGUAACGAUGGAAGUCCCAAGAAAAGAGCCGGGGACGAUUAAGGUUUCAGAAAAGUUUGCAGACAUAAUGACAGACCUGCAGGUGUUACAUGAUGGAUUAGAAGAGGCCGACAAUCAAACUGCAGUCACCUGCCAAAGCCUGUUACGUGACAUUAAACUCCACAUCAAGAACAACAGAGUCAUUCUGCAACGUCAGAUACAGAACGCCACAGCAGAGGCGUCGUCUCCACUGCAGACAUGUGCAGGUCUCACAGAAGUCCUUGGGCGGUACCAGAAACUUCUCCAGGGAAAACUGGAGCUAUUUGUGAACUCUUACUCCAAGAACAGGAACUGCAAUAAAGACACGGCAGAAUUCGGUGGUGACGGAUAGAAAUACAUGUGGAGCUGUUGUGUCGAAAAGCCUAUGUGUUGCCUUUUUAAAGAGUAUAUCUUAUAAGAAGACUGUGUCCAGAUGCACUGAGAGUACGACAGCGUGGUAAAAUAGACACCUGCACACUGGGAGCUUGUUGAAUCUACAUCAUAAGUAAACAGUUUUUAGUGGAUCAAUACAGUGGGGAAAUUUUGAAAUGAAGCAAUAGUUAGCAAACAACCGUCCAAUGAGAACUUAUCAGAGAGCCAUAGGUGAAUGGAGUUCUAGAGUAUACAUACUAUAUUCAAUUUAAAUAUGGAUUUCUCAGUUGACCACAUAACACGAGGAGUGUUAUCAACUUUGAGAAAUCACAGGGCUGGGAUGUUGUACAGGAAAAAUGGACAACAGUCUCAUGUACGUGUGAGUGACUGAGUGUCCGACAGGAGAGUUCAGAACCAGCUGGAAAAGGGUGCAGUGCUUCUCACUCUCACACCGGCCACAAACGGAUCCAGACAACAGUCAAACCCAGAGGAGCUGUCUGGAGCUGUCGGGACAUCUUCAUCCCUGUUUGGUCCAAAGGCCGUCUCAGGACAUGCCUGCAUUCUGCUGAAGCUUCCACCUCGCGAGGUCUGGGACAGAUCAAAUACAAACAGACUGAACAGAGUGUUGAGCAAUGGGCAGGAGGCAUAUGAGGAAGAGUGCACAGAGGUUCACUGCAGGACUGCAAUUUCCUCAUGCACGGUACGAUUCCAUGUUGAGUGAUCUUGUGUAGACACAAGCAAAAGGUGACAGCGUCAGCCUGAUGGCGCCCUCUGCCUGCAGUAACAAUGAACUGUAGUUACUGUAGUUCAGUUAUUCUAACCAGGGUCCAAGGGGUCCUAGGGAAAAAAAAGGAAAAGGAAUAAACGGAUAAUCAUUUUCAUAACAAAUGUUGUAAUGACAUAAUCUUGCAUGUAUAUAACAGUGACAUAAACAAAUAUUCCAAUAAUAAUAUCACUCAGAACAAUACACCAUCACUUUGAGGUUUAUGGUUUCAACUUUACGGUUUAACCUCUAAACCCUCGCCUGAACCAAACACAUGUUUCUAUAGUUUGGCCUUACCUAACCAAAUCUAAAAGCUUCUUGACAAAAAACAAGACAAAAACAAGGAUGAAAACGCAACAAACAAACAAAAAAACCAUCAAAACCAUGACAAGAAAGCAUUACAAAUUUUUUUUUUUAAAGUGAUGGAAAAAGUGACAAAAAAUGAAACAAAAAGCCACAAAAGAGCAACAAAAAAGUGACAAAAAUGACAAAAAAAAGCAACGGAAAUAGUGGAAGAAAUGUGACAAAAAUGCAACAAAAAAAUCACAAAAGAGCAACAAAAAAGUGACAAAAGUGAUUGGAAAAGUGGCAAAAAUGCGAUGAAAACACCGCAACACCAUGAGGAAAAAGAUCUGUUUCGAUCCAUUUUGUUGGUCUUACAGUAGCUUGAAAUGAGACAUUACACUGGCCUAUAGCUCUCCAGUCAAGAACCCCUUUAGAUUUGGGUAAGGCCUGAACUGGAGAAAAUGUACUCGGUUAAGGUGAGGGUGAAGAGGUUAAAACUUCAGAUUUCUUCAAUGAUUGGAUGUGGAAGACGUUUGUGGGUUAAUGGGAUUUGUUUGGUUGUCUAAAGGUCCCUGGUCUCAAAAAACUUUGAGAACCCCUGCUGUAGACGUAAAGAAUAUCUGCUUAUUGUUAUUAUUGGUUUCAUUUCUACCUCUUAACAUUCUAAUAGCAGUUAAGCAUGCACAUUCGAAACCCUACAUCUACUUGUGUUCAGACAGACUACACCAAUCAGUACUGCGUGUGGAGGACACUAUAACUAAUAAAAUAGAUACAAAUCUACAGUCAGAGUGUAUCUAUUAGGAGAGGACUGAAGAAAUUGUGAGUGUCUUUUACAGUUUAUUCUUAUUGCCUGCAUGGGGUGUGAUCUAACACCAACAUAUGCAUUAAACAGGUUUGCAGGACACAAGUUGAAGCAGAAGUGAUGUCAGGCCCAGUGCAGAAAGAUAAAUAGAGAAAUACAGAUCUAAUCAGUCAAGCAGAACUUGAGUGUAGGAAAAUAAAGUUUCCGAGCCACAACUGGAUUAAAUUCCAUUUAUUUAACGCCGACGCGUUUCGACCUUUGUGUCUUUGUCGAGGCAGUGUAACACAGCUGUGCCUAAUUCAGGUUUAAAUAGUUCAGGACAUGUGAUCAGUGUCACGUGCCAAAAAAAAAAAAAAAUAUAUAUAUAUAUAUAUAUUCUUUUUGUUUGUUUGCCACGUGACACUGAUCACAUGUCCUGAACUAUUUAAAGAGUACCUACUAAACGGGCGUGCCAAAGCCUUUCCCCACCCACAAACAAAAGUCAAACAUUGCAGUGAAAGAGGCGGUCUCUGAAGUUUGGGGGUGACAUGCGGGGGGUGAGUGUGUGGGCCUUUGCAUUGGCACAAUCACAGCAGACAGAUUACGUGGGAUGGACUUGGUUAGGGCUGAAACAACUAAUCGAUUAAUCCGCGACUAAUCGAUUAUUGAAAUAGUCGACAACUAUUUUAGUAAUUGAUUAAUCGUUUUUUGGUUCACACAGACUCUAAUAGAGCUAAACUUGCAUGAAAAUGCAGUAUUUUGAUGAAAACCUUUGUUUUUAUAGUUAGGGUCUGUAGUGUUUUGUACAUUGUAAAUUUCAUUAAUAUCUGUCUGUGUCUCAUCCAAUCAGAAAGCAGAAUUGCCACCACUUUAGCUUCAUGUGAUGAAAAAACACUGAAAAAAUAAAAUUUUCCUACACCAUUCACAGCCAAGCGACUAAUCGAUUAAUCGUAAAAAUAAUCAGUAGAUUAAUCUAUUACAAAAUAAUCGUUAGUUGCAGCCCUAGACUUGGUUAUAUACCACAGGUACAGGGGCAGGACAAUGGGCAGGACAAUGGGCAGCACCUGAUGACGAUAUGUGGAGCUGGUGCGGCUUAUGACGUUCUGUGGACGUCCAGUCAAUCAGGAAAUUAUAAUUUAGUGGCAGAGUUUACCCUGAAGGGGGCGCAACCCAUUCGUUUUCAGGCCAAAGUUGGGAUUUAACACGUUUGCGCUAUAAUGUCAGAAUAAUGUCAGGGACCAGUGGACAACACUAUGAGACACCCAUUGAGACAGUUUAUCAGUAAAAAAAAAACUUGAUUUGGUGUUUAGUUGCUCUUUAAAUAAAUAUAAUUUAAUCCAUUAUGCCUCGGAAUUAUUUUCCUAAUUCAUUUGACUCUGCCCGUUUUUUCCGAAGAGCACCUGGUACCAUUACACACAAUCGAGAUCCAGUGAGCACCUCCGGCCUCCUCCUCAUUCAGAACUUGAGUGUGUUGAAAGAAUAGUCAUGUGUUUCCUCCGCUUUCACUUGUCGUUAUUAUCUAUGGAUGAUCAGAUAAUACGUCUUUAACAGAGCAUGUAAAUUAACUAACACUGUCAGACUGACACACUGAGAUGAUGAACUCAACAGAGGUCAUCAGGUAUGUCCACAAAGAGUCUUGGCCUCCCGUCAUGUGCACCUUCUAUAGAGGGUACAAUAGAGAGCAUUAUGAGCCUAGGGAUGGGAAUUGAUAAGAUUUUAUUGAUAUCAAUACCAUCAAAAAUUUUACCUAUCGAUUCGAUUCUUUAUCGAUUCUCUUAUCGAUACCUGACUUGUUUGUGUGUUGGGGAAAAGCAAGGAAUGAAUGUGCUUUCGAUAAAGUAAAAAAAGACACAUUGUUAGUUUUCCCAAGAAAAAAUAUCUAUUAAAUAAAGCAUGUUUCCAAAUAUACUGUGGCUCCUGCAGCCAGGCUGGCAUUCUCUAAAAUAUAACUGUAACAUUUGUACUUUUCAACAAGUGUCUGUAACUUAUAACAGACUGAUGCUGUUCUGUAACACCUAAACAACAGGACUCGGUCUCAGCCCAAACCCUACAGAUUUUCAUCUAUUUCUGCUUCAUCCGGCG